UUGAUACAGUCUGUGGAACAGCUGUGAAAGAACAAUAAAGGUGACGCGACAUCGACAAAAACAAGGGGGAAAUACAACGAAGCAUGUUUUAACAUUCGUGUAAACACAGAACUCCGAAAAUCACAGAUUCACGAUUUUCUUUUUCCUUUCCUGAAGGUUGGUCACUGCUGACAACACCACUAUGGGAAGGAUCUUCAUGGACCACAUCGGUGGAACAUGCCUGUUCUCCUGCACCACUUGUGACACCAUCCUGACCAACCGCUCAGAGCUCAUCUCCACAAGCUUCACCGGCACAACGGGCCGAGCCUUCCACUUCACCAUGAUGAGCCCGGUGAUAGUCUACUACUCCUACUACAGUAGUGCCUAGUGUGGAGACGGGCGGUCAAUGGGAGCAACUCAGGAGCACUCUUCUCCAAUGCGCUGGCACGAGCGGCCCACCUUGCGGUCCAGCUUCACCAUCUUGAGGACGGCCUCCUCACGCCCACGCCCCAGGUGGUCGAACAGGCAGUCGUGCUGCUCAGUACUUACCGCAGCGACAGGAGCCCAGUUCCUGCUGUACCAGCUCCAGUUUGGUUUGGCAGCGAUAGCAGCGCCGGCGGUUUUUCUGCUUGGGUCCUGGGCUAGGCUCCUCGCUAACCGCCUCCCCCUCCUCAGAGUCCCCCCGUGCCCGUUUCUCCGGUGACGCCUCGCUCUCCAGCCCUGAAGCUGAAAGAACAGAAGGUUACACGGUGUCAGAGUCCAACGUACAGUUUUGCACAAACACAGGGAGCAGGAGCAAGGCUGUACCUGAUUCGCAAGGACGUUUUUUGGGCGUACAGAGGGUACCUUGGGCUGUUUCUGUGCAUGAUAAUAGUUCUGUGGAGAGAGAAAGAAAAAAAAGAAAAAAAAAAGUGUAAGACAGGAAACAUUCCUCAUUGAUCAAGAGCCUCUUGAGCCUCGUGUGUCACCUAGACCAAGAAGCAGGGAAUUAGAUACAGCUUUGGAGACAAAACAAUCUUGAAUAUAAGACCUUGUGGCAAUGUUAUGUAAUAAAAUAAGCUCAA